GGCUCCAGGCUGUCAGCUGUCUGCACAGAGCCUGACGCUGGACCCAAACUCAUGGACCAUGAGAUCAUGACCUGAGCCAACGUUGGACACUUAACCGAUUGAGCCACCCAGGCACCCCUAUUUCUCCUAUUCUUAAGCUAACAACAGAUAUCAGGAACUACUUUGGGAUACUUCCAAUGACAGAAAAGGUCUGUCUUAAACAGAGAGAUGGCGUAGCAUAAAGAACUGAUAUGGGGGCUCUCUAAGAUCGAAGUUCUAAUAUCAGCUUUGCCACUUCUAAGCUUCUGACCUUGAGUAAGUCACUUUUCAUUGUCUCAUUUUCAUCAUUUAUGGAACGGGAAUAAAUUGCUGUGCAGAUCAGGGAUACUUACUACAUAUUUAUUUGUUUAUUUGCCCUAUUUCUAAAAAGAUUAUGUUAGAUUUUACUAAAUAUAGAGGUAUAAAAACAAUGAUCAUAACAGGAAAAAAAAGUUAAUUUCUUGUAAGAAUUCCCAACUAAGAAAAGCUUGAGCUUUUAAGCUUUCUAGCAAUCAGCACAAAGAAGGACUGAAUUAUACAGCUCUCAUUUUUUUUGUAGAAGGAAUAUACAAGUAGAGAAAAAGUUUUACCUAAUUCUAAGCUUUAACGAUAAUGUAUCAUGUGAAGUUCUGUUUUGUUUUGUUUUGUUUGUUUUUUUGACAGAGAAAAAGAGAGCGCGUGCGCACACACACGUGUUAGCUGGGGAGGGACAGAGGGAGAGGGAAAGAGAAAAUCCCAGGUAGCCUCCGUGCUGUACAGACUUGAGGCUUGAUCUCACGACCAUGAAAUCAUGAGCUGAGCCAGAAUCAAGAGGGGGACACUUAACCGACUGAGCUACCCAAGCAGUGCAGUUUUAUAAGAACAUGUAAUUAUUUAUUGAAAUAAUGAGUGCAAAAAUGAUAGCUUGGGAUUUUAACUUUGUUUAAUACUGAAAUAUGUAUUAAUAUCAGUGUUUGGGGUUUUUUUGAAGAGUUUAGAAUUCAUAAAGCAAAAUAUCAGUGAGCAAUAUUUAAUAUAUUUCAACAUUUUAAUAUCUAAAUGUGUUAUAAAAUAUCAAUAUCAUUUAUGAAAACAAAUUUUGCUAUGAAAAAGGCAGAUGGUGAGUAAAAACAAGGAUGUGGAAAAAUUGGAACCCUCAUAAACUGCUGGUGGGGAUGUAAAAUGGCACAACCAUUUUGAAACAGAGUUACUAUAUGAUCCAGCAAUUCCACUCCUAGGUAUAUACCCCAGAGCAAUGAAAACCUAUAUCUAUAUAAAAAUGUAUAUACAAAUAUUUAUAGCACCAUAAUUCAUAAUAGCCAAAAAAUGUCCAUCAACUGAUGAAUGGAUAAACAAAAUGUAGUGUAUCUAAACAGUGGGAUAUUAUUCAGAAAGAAAUAAGAAAGAAGAAAUAAGUAAGAAAUACUGAUGAGAAGUACUGAUAUAUACUACAAUUUGGAUGGACCUUGAAAACAUUCUAAAUGGGAAAAGCCAGUCACAAGAGGUCAUAUAUUGUAUAAUUCCAUUUAUAUGAAAAGUCCAGAAUAGGCAAUUCAUGCAGACAAAAAGUAGGUUAGUAGUAGUUUCCAAAGGCUGGUGGGGCUAGGGGAAGAAGGGUGGGUGAUGGGGAAUGACUGCUAAUGUGUACAAGAUUUCUUUUGGGGGUGAUGAAAAUGUUGCAAAAUUAAUUGUGGUGAUGGUUGCACAACUCUGUGAAUAUACUAAAAAACACUGAGCCAGUUAGAUGAGUUAAUUGCAUGUUAUAUGACUUGUACCUCAAUAAAGCUGUUUUAAAAAACAAAUGUUAAACAUGCUAAUAUGUUAAUAUAAAUUAGCAAAUAAAUUUUAAUAAAGUAUUAUUUGAUCGUU